GACGAACGCUGGCGGCGUGCUUAACACAUGCAAGUCGAACGGAAAGGCCCUGCUUUUGUGGGGUGCCCGAGUGGCGAACGGGUGAGUAACACGUGAGUAACCUGCCCUUGACUUUGGGAUAACUUCAGGAAACUGGGGCUAAUACCGGAUAGGAGCUCCUGCUGCAUGGUGGGGGUUGGAAAGUUUCGGCGGUUGGGGAUGGACUCGCGGCUUAUCAGCUUGUUGGUGGGGUAGUGGCUUACCAAGGCUUUGACGGGUAGCCGGCCUGAGAGGGUGACCGGCCACAUUGGGACUGAGAUACGGCCCAGACUCCUACGGGAGGCAGCAGUGGGGAAUAUUGCACAAUGGGCGGAAGCCUGAUGCAGCAACGCCGCGUGCGGGAUGACGGCCUUCGGGUUGUAAACCGCUUUCGCCUGUGACGAAGCGGGAGUGACGGUAAUGGGUAAAGAAGCACCGGCUAACUACGUG
rnacentral:rRNA from 1 species